UACGUAGGGUGCAAGCGUUAAUCGGAAUUACUGGGCGUAAAGCGUGCGCAGGCGGUUUUGUAAGUCUGUCGUGAAAGCCCCGGGCUCAACCUGGGAAUUGCGAUGGAGACUGCAAGGCUUGAAUCUGGCAGAGGGGGGGUAGAAUUCCACGUGUAGCAGUGAAAUGCGUAGAGAUGUGGAGGAACACCGAUGGCGAAGGCAGCCCCUGGGUCAAGAUUGACGCUCAUGCACGAAAGCGUGGGGAGCAAACAGG
rnacentral:rRNA from 1 species